rnacentral:rRNA from 1 species
AGUGAACGCUGGCGGUAGGCCUAACACAUGCAAGUCGAACGGCAGCACAGUAAGAGCUUGCUCUUACGGGUGUCGCGUGGCGGACGGGUGAGGAAUACAUCGGAAUCUACUUUUUCGUGGGGGAUAACGUAGGGAAACUUACGCUAAUACCGCAUACGACCUACGUGUGAAAGCCGGGGAUCUUCGGACCUUGCGCGAUUGUAUGAGCCGAUGUCGGAUUAGCUAGUUGGCGGGGUAAAGGCCCACCAAGGCGACGAUCCGUAGCUGGUCUGAGAGGAUGAUCAGCCACACUGGAACUGAGACACGGUCCAGACUCCUACGGGAGGCAGCAGUGGGGAAUAUUGGACAAUGGGCGCAAGCCUGAUCCAGCCAUACCGCGUGGGUGAAGAAGGACUUCGGGUUGUAAAGCCCUGUUGUUGGGAAAGAAAAGCAGCAGGUUAAUACCCCGCUGUUCUGACGGUACCCAAAGAAUAAGCACCGGCUAACUUCGUG